UCGAACACCUUUAUUUAACCAGGUAGGCCAGUCGAACACCUUUAUCUAACCAGGUAGGCCAGUCGAACACCUUUAUUUAACCAGGUAGGCCAGUCGAACACCUUUAUUUAACCAGGUAGGCCAGUCGAACACCUUUAUUUAACCAGGUAGGCCAGUCGAACACCUUUAUUUAACCAGGUAGGCCAGUCGAACACCUUUAUUUAACCAGGUAGGCCAGUCGAACACCUUUAUCUAACCAGGUAGGCCAGUCGAACACCUUUAUUUAACCAGGUAGGCCAGUCGAACACCUUUAUCUAACCAGGUAGGCCAGUCGAACACCUUUAUCUAACCAGGUAGGCCAGUCGAACACCUUUAUCUAACCAGGUAGGCCAGUCGAACACCUUUAUCUAACCAGGUAGGCCAGUCGAACACCUUUAUCUAACCAGGUAGGCCAGUCGAACACCUUUAUCUAACCAGGUAGGCCAGUCGAACACCUUUAUCUAACCAGGUAGGCCAGUCGAACACCUUUAUCUAACCAGGUAGGCCAGUCGAACACCUUUAUCUAACCAGGUAGGCCAGUCGAACACCUUUAUCUAACCAGGUAGGCCAGUCGAACACCUUUAUCUAACCAGGUAGACCAGUCGAACACCUUUAUUUAACCAGGUAGGCCAGUCGAAC